UACGUAGGGGGCGAGCGUUGUCCGGAUUUAUUGGGCGUAAAGAGCUCGUAGGCGGUUCGAUAAGUCGGACGUGAAAUCUCCACGCUCAACGUGGAGGGGCCGUUCGAUACUGUCGUGACUCGAGUCCGGUAGGGGAGUGUGGAAUUCCCGGUGUAGCGGUGAAAUGCGCAGAGAUCGGGAGGAACACCCGUAGCGAAGGCGGCACUCUGGGACGGUACUGACGCUGAGACGCGAAAGCGUGGGGAGCGAACAGG
rnacentral:rRNA from 1 species